rnacentral:rRNA from 1 species
AGGACGAACGCUGGCGGCGUGCCUAACACAUGCAAGUGGAGCGACGAACCAGGCUUCGGCCUGGGGCAGAGCCGCGAACGGGUGAGUAACACGUGGGUAACCUGCCCUGAUGAUUGGGACAACCCGAGGAAACUCGGGCUAAUACCGAAUGUGCCCUCCGGCCUCAAGGCCGUUGGGGAAAGGAAGCUUCGGCCUCCGCAUCGGGAUGGGCCCGCGGCCCAUUAGCUUGUUGGUGAGGUAACGGCUCACCAAGGCAACGAUGGGUAGCUGGUCUGAGAGGACGAUCAGCCACACUGGGACUGAGACACGGCCCAGACUCCUACGGGAGGCAGCAGUGGGGAAUAUUGGACAAUGGGCGCAAGCCUGAUCCAGCCAUGCCGCGUGGAUGAUGAAGGCCCUAGGGUUGUAAAGUCCUUUCGACGGGGAAGAUAAUGACGGUACCCGUAGAAGAAGCCCGGCUAACUUCGUGCCAGCAGCCGC